CCUACGGGAGGCAGCAGUGGGGAAUAUUGGGCAAUGGGCGCAAGCCUGACCCAGCAACGCCGCGUGAAGGAAGAAGGCUUUCGGGUUGUAAACUUCUUUUCUGAGGGACGAAGAAAGUGACGGUACCUCAGGAAUGAGCCACGGCUAACUACGUGCCAGCAGCCGCGGUAAUACGUAGGUGGCAAGCGUUAUCCGGAUUUAUUUGGUGUAAAUGGCGUGUAGGCUGGAAAGCAAGUCAGAUGUGAAAACUGAGGGCUCAACCCUGAGCCUGCAUUUGAAACUGUUUUUCUUGAGUGCUGGAGAGGCAAUCGGAAUUCCGGGUGUAGCGGUGAAAUGCGUAGAUAUACGGAGGAACACCAGUGGCGAAGGCGGAUUGCUGGACAGUAACGGACGCUGAGGCGCGAAAGCGUGGGGAGCAAACAGGAUUAGAUACCCUAGUAGUC
rnacentral:rRNA from 1 species